rnacentral:rRNA from 1 species
UACGUAGGGUGCAAGCGUUGUCCGGAAUUAUUGGGAGUAAAGAGCUCGUAGGCGGUCUGUCGCGUCUGCUGUGAAAACUCAGGGCUUAACCCUGAGCUUGCAGUGGGUACGGGCAGACUAGAGUGCGGUAGGGGAGACUGGAAUUCCUGGUGUAGCGGUGAAAUGCGCAGAUAUCAGGAGGAACACCGGUGGCGAAGGCGGGUCUCUGGGCCGUAACUGACGCUGAGGAGCGAAAGCAUGGGGAGCGAACAGG